rnacentral:tRNA from 1 species
GGCCUCGUAGCUCAGUGGGUAAGAGCGUUGGCUGUGCUAAAGCCUUCCCCUUGCUGGCGUGGGUUCGAAUCCCACGAAGGCUG